GUGUCAGCCGCCGCGGUAAUACGUAGGUGGCAAGCGUUAUCCGGAAUUAUUGGGCGUAAAGCGCGCGUAGGCGGUUUUUUAAGUCUGAUGUGAAAGCCCCCGGCUCAACCGUGGAGGGUCAUUGGAAACUGGACAACUUGAGUGCAGAAGAGGAAAGUGGAAUUCCCUGUGUAGCGGUGAAAUGCGCAGAGAUAUGGAGGAACACCAGUGGCGAAGGCGACUUUCUGGUCUGUAACUGACGCUGAUGUGCGAAAGCGUGGGGAUCAAACAGGAUUAGAAACCCUCGUAGUCC
rnacentral:rRNA from 1 species